rnacentral:tRNA from 1 species
CAGCCUGUAGUCUAGUGGCUAAGAUGUAUGUCUAAGACCCCUGAGGUUGGUGGUUCAAGCCCCAGUCCAGCCACA